CCUACGGGAGGCAGCAGUGAGGAAUAUUGGUCAAUGGGCGCGAGCCUGAACCAGCCAAGUCGCGUGAAGGAUGACUGCCCUACGGGUUGUAAACUUCUUUUAUAAAGGAAUAAAGUGAGGCACGUGUGCCUUUUUGUAUGUACUUUAUGAAUAAGGAUCGGCUAACUCCGUGCCAGCACCCGCGGUAAUACGGAGAAUCCGAGCGUUAUCCGGGUUUAUUGGGGGUAAAGGGAGGGAAGAUGGGUUGUUAUGUCAGUUGUGAAAGUUUGCGGCUCAACAGUAAAAGUGCAAUUGAUACUGGAAGUCUUGAGUACAGUUGAGGUAGGCGGAAUUCGUGGUGUAGAGGUGAAAUGCUUAGAUAGCACGAAGAACUCCGAUUGCGAAGGCAGCUUACUAAACUGCCACUGACAUUGAUGCUCGAAAGUGUGGGUAUCAAACAGGAUUAGAUACCCCUGUAGUC
rnacentral:rRNA from 1 species